UCUAUUCAAUUUCAAAUGUGAAGUUAGAGGACUUGGGCAAUUGAAAGCCUCUUUCUCUCAAAGGACCAUUGGAAAGCAGAAUCUGUAUUCACGCAAGAAUCAUCUGAAGAGGCUUGAAUGAUACACUGGAUAAAUAACUUUACUUGGGAGAAGCCAGUCUGGAUCCUUGCUCAACUCAGAGAGACCUGUCUGCCCAUUACCUCUUUCAAAUUUACUGAUAAGGAUGACCCAAGCAGGACAUCACUCUUCUGCUGCCAUUGUUCUAGGAUAUAGAAGAUAUCGGGACCUCCCAUGAUAUCAAGGCCAUCUCUGUAAUCUUCUACCCAUGCCAAGUCCUGAUGCUGUGCUGGCCUCCCAUCAAAACACAUUGUCCUCCUGCAGAUAGCGGAGUGGAAGAUGCUAAUACCGAUACUGCAUUAAUAAUUGUGCCUCUUAUAUCAUGACUUGUAAUCAGCUUUCAGUAACAUAUAUGCACAAGCAAAGUCAUCUACAUGUUGAAUUCUAAUUGGAAAUGUCAUUGGAUGAUAGGCGCUGGCCACGUGCAAGACAAGUGAUUCUUUUUGUUCUUUUCGAUCCAGAGACAAUGAACAUACCA